CAAAAAGAAAAAAAUUCACGCGUGUUUUCUUUUUUUCUUCCCAGUUCAUCGUUUCUCUCUCUCUCGCUCUCGCUCUCUCUCGACAUGCAACAAAGAACUGCGAAAUCUCUUCGCUCACAAUCCUGAAUCUGCUCCUGCUAUUGCUCUUAAUGCUCAGAUCGAGAAAACCAAACGCAGAACAAGUUGCAGAAUUUGGCUGCUACUUAGGUGAAUGAUUAAUUUGCAUCAAAUAUGAGUCUACGUAGAAUUCGUGGCUUCUGACUGUGCUUGGAGCAUCUCUGCUUUGAGAGUUUUAUUGAAGUGGUCAAAUAUCUGUUGACAUUAUGCUUUUGGUUUUGAGUAUGUAUAUUUAGGUUAUAUACACUAGGGAAACUGACCAGAGUCGUGGGUUUGGAUUCUUGGUAACUUUGUGUUUUUCCAAGUGUCUAUUUGGUGUUCUCUGCUCAAGUAGCUUACCAAAUCUAUGAUUCUCUUCACUACCAUGCUUUUGAACAGCACUAGAAACUGGAGUUUGUGUAUAACGAUUCACUCGUUUGUUGUGUAAACUCUUUUUCGGUGUUGGUGUUAGGUUCUCUGGUUAUAUAGUAACAUUUCAAAGUCAGUCACGUUAUUGGAGAUUAAGGUGAUCAGCAAUUGCUCAAGCUCAUGACUCUUUGUUGAGAAAUGCAUUGAAGGGAGAGGUAUAUAAAGCUUUAUAGCUUCCAUUAUCUCAUCAAUGGUUUUGUUGUGUUUGUUAGCUCACAACAGGUAGUCUUGAUCCUACCAUAUCUUUGUGAGCUUAUACUAUGUUAUGUUAUCUUUUAUGUAAAAGCUCCUUUAUUUUC